AUAUGGUUGCCACCGGGUAAGAAAUGCAAUAGCAUUCAUGUAUGCAUCGUUAGGUCUUAGAAGAUGUAUAUGUGGAUGCAUUUUUUAU
rnacentral:ncRNA from 1 species